rnacentral:lncRNA from 1 species
AACAACUCUAAGUGCUUAUACAGUUCCCUAAACUGUUUAAGUCAAAACAGAGGAGACUACCAUCAAUAAAACAUGCUCAAUAUCAAGCAGGGGAGACCUUCCCGGCAAAAUAACAACGAGCGCAGCAUUCAUACAUGCAAAAAUAUGAUAAGUAUACAAAACAGGCAUAAAAAUAAACAGGCAAAACUUAGCAUACCAACUUGCUCGAAUGAGCAU